AUCCGGAGAACUUUCCAGAGAUGGAUUGGUGCCUUCGGGAACUCUGAGACAGGUGCUGCAUGGCUGUCGUCAGCUCGUGUUGUGAAAUGUUGGGUUAAGUCCCGCAACGAGCGCAACCCUUUAUCCUUUGUUGCCAGCGGUUAGGCCGGGAACUCAAAGGAGACUGCCAGUGAUAAACUGGAGGAAGGUGGGGAUGACGUCAAGUCAUCAUGGCCCUUACGAGUAGGGCUACACACGUGCUACAAUGGCGCAUACAAAGAGAAGCGACCUCGCGAGAGCAAGCGGACCUCAUAAAGUGCGUCGUAGUCCGGAUUGGAGUCUGCAACUCGACUCCAUGAAGUCGGAAUCGCUAGUAAUCGUGGAUCAGAAUGCCACGGUGAAUACGUUCCCGGGCCUUGUACACACCGCCCGUCACACCAUGGGAGUGGGUUGCAAAAGAAGUAGGUAGCUUAACCUUCGGGAGGGCGCUUACCACUUUGUGAUUCAUGACUGGGGUGAAGUCGUAACAAGGUAGGCGUAGAUGA
rnacentral:rRNA from 1 species